rnacentral:tRNA from 1 species
UUUAAUAUAGCAUAACACAAUGCAAAGAGUUUAAGCCUCUUAGAUUUUUAUUAAA